CGACGUAGCUUUGGGACUGACCAAGAAGCUACUUCAGACUGAGGGCAAGGAAUCGAACCUGGUCUACUCGCCGCUAUCCAUCCACGUGGUGCUCAGCCUGAUCGCGGCCGGGUCGGAGGGCCCCACCCAGGACCAGCUCCUCUACUUCCUCAAGUCCAAGUCCGCCGAUCACCUCAACUCCUUCGCCGCCGAGCUCGUCUCCGUCCUCUUCUCCGACGGGUCCCCCAGCGGUGGGCCCCUCUUGUCAUUUGCGAAUGGCAUUUGGGUCGACAGCUCUCUCCCUCUCAAGCCUUCUUUCAAGCAGGUGGUGGACACUGCUUAC
rnacentral:lncRNA from 1 species